rnacentral:rRNA from 1 species
GAUGAACGCUGGCGGCGUGCCUAAUACAUGCAAGUCGAGCGAAUGGAUUAAGAGCUUGCUCUUAUGAAGUUAGCGGCGGACGGGUGAGUAACACGUGGGUAACCUGCCCAUAAGACUGGGAUAACUCCGGGAAACCGGGGCUAAUACCGGAUAACAUUUUGAACCGCAUGGUUCGAAAUUGAAAGGCGGCUUCGGCUGUCACUUAUGGAUGGACCCGCGUCGCAGUAGUUAGUUGGUGAGGUAACGGCUCACCAAGGCAACGUUGAGGAGCCGACCUGAGAGGGUGAUCGGCCACACUGGGACUGAGACACGGCCCAGACUCCUACGGGAGGCAGCAGUAGGGAAUCUUCCGCAAUGGACGAAAGUCUGACGGAGCAACGCCGCGUGAGUGAUGAAGGCUUUCGGGUCGUAAAACUCUGUUGUUAGGGAAGAACAAGUGCUAGUUGAAUAAGCUGGCACCUUGACGGUACCUAACCAGAAAGCCACGGCUAACUACGUGCCAGCCGCCGCCGUAA